GAUGAAGAACGCAGCGAAAUGCGAUACGUAAUGUGAAUUGCAGAUUUCAGUGAAUCAUCGAAUCUUUGAACGCACAUUGCGCCCGCUAGUAUUCUGGCGGGCAUGCCUGUUCGAGCGUCAUUUCAACCAUCAAGCCCUAGGCUUGCGUUGGAGCCCUGCGGCUGCCGCAGGCUCCCAAAUCCAGUGGCGGGCUCGUCGUCGUACCGAGUGCAGUAAGCAUCCUCGCUCAGGGAACGUGACGGGUUCUUGCCGUGAAACCCCCCACAUAUCAAGGUUGACCUCGGAUCAGGUAGGAAUACCCGCUGAACUUAAGCAUAUCAAUAAGCGGAGGA
rnacentral:misc_RNA from 1 species